AAAGGCUAUACCAAACUGUUCACUGAUGUUGCUGCUGUUUCAAGAGAAGAUAGUGUUCCAAUGUCUUUUUGCAGUCUUAAAUUUGAUGCAAUGUUUUAGAUAUUUUGGAUGAGUACUUUUUUUUACUUCUACUUGAGUAGUAUUAUUUUGAAUUGUACUCUUACUUGAGUACAAUUUUUGGCUACUCUACCCACCUCUGUUUUGUGACCAGUACUCUUAUUAAAGACAGAGUGUUCUGCUUUUAUUCAUCGGGCCUUAUAAAUGACUUCACCAUCGACAUUAUUGACAGUUUUAUGCCAACAUGGACCGGAAGUCUGAUGUGACAGCUGCUGUGUGACUGAAUCAUCUGAGAUCUGAUGCCACGGACCAAGAAAUGGAGACCAGGAUUCCAAAUUGACUUCCAACAUGCACCAGAUGGGCGAAGCAAACAUCGGAAUGACGGAGCAGCAAUACAUUUACUUUUCAUGCUGUUCUAUCUUUGACCAAUGCUUACACUUGCAAAAUUUACCUGAGUGACAUAGUGCAAGACUGCAGAGUGUAGGAUGAAAAAAA